UACGUAGGGGGCAAGCGUUGUCCGGAAUCAUUGGGCGUAAAGAGCUCGUAGGUGGUUCGGUAAGUCGGAUGUGAAAUCUCCAGGCUCAACCUGGAGGGGUCAUUCGAUACUGCCGUGACUAGAGGUCGGUAGGGGAGUGUGGAAUUCCUGGUGGAGCGGUGAAAUGCGCAGAUAUCAGGAGGAACACCCGUAGCGAAGGCGGCACUCUGGGCCGAUACUGACACUGAGGAGCGAAAGCGUGGGGAGCGAACAGG
rnacentral:rRNA from 1 species